rnacentral:rRNA from 1 species
CAGUAGCCGCGGUAAUACGAAGGGUGCAAGCGUUAAUCGGAAUUACUGGGCGUAAAGCGUGCGUAGGCGGUUAGUUAAGUCUGCUGUGAAAUCCCCGGGCUCAACCUGGGAAUGGCAGUGGAUACUGGCAAGCUAGAGUGUGUCAGAGGAUGGUGGAAUUCCCGGUGUAGCGGUGAAAUGCGUAGAGAUCGGGAGGAACAUCAGUGGCGAAGGCGGCCAUCUGGGACAACACUGACGCUGAGGCACGAAAGCGUGGGGAGCAAACAGGAUUAGAUACCCGCGUAGUCCCUGUCUCUUAUAA